GACGAACGCUGGCGGCGUGCCUAAUACAUGCAAGUCGAGCGAAUCAAUAGGAGCUUGCUCCUGUUGGUUAGCGGCGGACGGGUGAGUAACACGUGGGCAACCUGCCUGUAAGACUGGGAUAACACCGGGAAACCGGUGCUAAUACCGGAUAAUCCUUUUCCUCUCAUGAGGAAAAGCUGAAAGUCGGUUUCGGCUGACACUUACAGAUGGGCCCGCGGCGCAUUAGCUAGUUGGUGAGGUAACGGCUCACCAAGGCGACGAUGCGUAGCCGACCUGGAAGGGUGAGCGGCCACACUGGGACUGAGACACGGCCCAGACUCCUACGGGAGGCAGCAGUAGGGAAUCUUCCACAAUGGACGAAAGUCUGAUGGAGCAACGCCGCGUGAGCGAUGAAGGCCUUCGGGUCGUAAAGCUCUGUUGUUAGGGAAGAACAAGUACCGGAGUAACUGCCGGUACCUUGACGGUACCUAACCAGAAAGCCACGGCUAACUACGUGCCAGCCGCCGCCGUAAGAC
rnacentral:rRNA from 1 species